rnacentral:lncRNA from 1 species
UAAAGUCUUAUAAAUUCGUCGGCUAAAACUUUGAAAUUCGUCGGCUAAAGUCUUAAAUUUCGUCGGCUAAAACUUUGAAAUUCGUCGGCUAAACCUUUGAAAUUCGUCGGCUAAAAGUAUUUGUAUACAUUUGGCAUGUUGUGAUUGUGAUGAUCAAACUUGAGAAACAGAAAUCCGACCGUCAGAUCUGACCAUCAUGAUAAAAUACAUGUGUGGGAAAAAAUUCAACUUGAUCCGAAAAGAAUAAGGGCUCGAUCCGGACGGUCAAUCUCGUAAGUCAAACCCCUAAACGCACGGAAAAGGUCGUUCGACCGUCUAAAUUACGUAUUUUGGCCGGACCUCCAACUGAAAAUAGUUUUAAACCGAUGACACGCAACAAGUCGUAUAAAAAUUUUACGCAAAAUAACCACCGAAUAUAGGGCUACUCAUAGGGGGAAAAAAUGAAAAAUUGCAUUGACCGCAACUAUCGACACCGAAUAUUUACCGGAAUAGUGUGAUUUUUCAACCGUGGAUGUAUUUCAACAUUCUCGUCAUAUCUUAUUUCAUGACUUUUUGCCGUUUGAAGGUUUUACGUAUAGUUUGUUUUUGAAACGGAACAUUUACAUAACACUAGGUAAACAAGUUAUACAACAUUAGUAUGCCUGUUGUGAUUGUGAUGAUCAAACUUGAGAAACAGUCAUCCGACCGUCAGAUCUGACCAUCAUGAUAAAAUACAUCUAUGGGAAAAAAUUCAACUUGAUCCGAAAAGAAUAAGGGCUCGAUCCGGACGGUCAAUCUCGUAAGUCAAACCCCUAAACGCACGGAAAAGGUCGUUCGACCGUCUAAAUUACGUAUUUUGGCCGGACCUCCAACUGAAAAUAGUUUUAAACCGAUGACACGCAACAAGUCGUAUAAAAAUUUUACGCAAAAUAACCACCGAAUAUAGGGCUACUCAUAGAUGGAAAAAAUGAAAAAUUGCAUUGACCGCAACUAUCGGCACCGAAUAUUUACCGGAAUAGUGUGANNNNN